rnacentral:rRNA from 1 species
UACGUAGGGUGCGAGCGUUGUCCGGAAUUAUUGGGCGUAAAGGGCUCGUAGGCGGUUUGUCGCGUCUGCCGUGAAAGUCCGGGGCUCAACUCCGGAUCUGCGGUGGGUACGGGCAGACUAGAGUGAUGUAGGGGAGACUGGAAUUCCUGGUGUAGCGGUGAAAUGCGCAGAUAUCAGGAGGAACACCGGUGGCGAAGGCGGGUCUCUGGGCCGAUAUUGACGCUGAGGAGCGAAAGCGUGGGGAGCGAACAGG